GCGCUGAUGUCUGAGGUGAUGCCGGAGAGGCAGGUCCCCGAGCAGCGUCCUGCAGAAGGCUGCCACCGUCAUGAAGGCGUCCACAGGCAGCGCCGUCCAUGACGUCCCGUGGCCCCACAUCAGCUCCUGGGGCAUCACGAAGCUGCGUAAGAUGAGACAAUAGCAGGUUCAGAGAGAACAAACAACACCGUGCAAGAAGACAAUAAAACCGGUUUAGUCAAGCCCGGCAUCGUGCCAACCAGACCUACACAGAGGUGGCGGGCGCUGUGGGCCAGUGUCGCCACCCACGUGCGCGCUGUUGCCAUCACGGGUCGAGGCGCUCCACCCUGCCCAGAGAGCUGGCUCACUGACCUGGUGACCCCUGUCGACCAGGGCCCGGGCCAUGGCACGCAGUGUGAGGACAUGCGAGGCCGCGUACAUGGGGUGCAGGAUCAACACCCUCUUGCCGCCCACGUCAGAGUCAUCCACGUCCGCCCACUCCGCCAUCACCGCCGCCGUCGUGGUCAGCGCCAACACCAACAACACCCGCCAUAUCUGCAACACAAAUGGGAUUUAGCACCACUUUUCUUCCCUUGCAAGAUAAAGAAAGACGUAUCUGCUUUGGAGAAAGUUGAACACCGGGCGACAAAUGUCGUCCCAGAACUAAGUCGACUCUCAUACUUGAGGGCCACAGGGCUAACAAUACUGGAAAUCAGACAUGACAGGACUCAUAUCAUCAAAACUUUUAAAAUACUGAACAACGUGGAGGAUAUUGAUCCAGGCCAUUUAUUUAAAAUGUCAAAUGUAGCACUGACAAGGAACAUCUGCUUCAAGCUCAAGAAGCCACAAUGUGGGACAGAAAACAGAUGAUUUUUCACUCAUAUGAUUAUAAACCCAUAGAACCGCCUACCCGCAAAUCCGUAAAUGCCAAAACUGAUGCAC